GAUGAACGCUGGCGGCGUGCCUAAUACAUGCAAGUCGAGCGAACGGACGAGAAGCUUGCUUCUCUGAUGUUAGCGGCGGACGGGUGAGUAACACGUGGAUAACCUACCUAUAAGACUGGGAUAACUUCGGGAAACCGGAGCUAAUACCGGAUGAUAUUUUGAACCGCAUGGUUCAAAAGUGAAAGACGGUCUUGCUGUCACUUAUAGAUGGAUCCGCGCUGCAUUAGCUAGUUGGUAAGGUAACGGCUUACCAAGGCAACGAUGCAUAGCCGACCUGAGAGGGUGAUCGGCCACACUGGAACUGAGACACGGUCCAGACUCCUACGGGAGGCAGCAGUAGGGAAUCUUCCGCAAUGGGCGAAAGCCUGACGGAGCAACGCCGCGUGAGUGACGAAGGUCUUCGGAUCGUAAAACUCUGUCAUUAGGGAAGAACAUAUGUGUAAGUAACUGUGCACAUCUUGACGGUACCUAAUCAGAAAGCCACGGCUAACUACGUG
rnacentral:rRNA from 1 species